UCAAAGAUUAAGCCAUGCAUGUCUAAGUAUAAGCAAUUAUACAGCGAAACUGCGAAUGGCUCAUUAAAUCAGUUAUCGUUUAUUUGAUAGUACCUUACUACAUGGAUAACCGUGGUAAUUCUAGAGCUAAUACAUGCUGAAAACCCCGACUUCGGAAGGGGUGUAUUUAUUAGAUUAAAAACCAAUGCCCUUCGGGGCUCACUGGUGAUUCAUGAUAACUUCUCGAAUCGCAUGGCCUUGUGCCGGCGAUGGUUCAUUCAAAUUUCUGCCCUAUCAACUUUCGACGGCUGGGUCUUGGCCAGCCGUGGUGACAACGGGUAACGGAGGGUUAGGGCUCGACCCCGGAGAAAACGCCUGAGAAACGGCGUUUACAUCCAAGGAAGGCAGCAGGCGCGCAAAUUACCCAAUGCCGACACGGCGAGGUAGUGACGAGAAAUACUGAUACAGGGCUCUUUUGGGUCUUGUAAUUGGAAUGAGUACAAUUUAAAUCUCUUAACGAGGAACAAUUGGAGGGCAAGUCUGGUGCCAGCAGCCGCGGUAAUUCCAGCUCCAAUAGCGUAUAUUAAAGUUGUUGCAGUUAAAAAGCUCGUAGUUGAACCUUGGGCCUGGCUGGCCGGUCCGCCUCACCGCGUGCACUGGUCCGGCCGGGCCUUUCCCUCUGGGGAGCCCCAUGCCCUUCACUGGGCGUGGCGGGGAACCAGGACUUUUACUUUGAAAAAAUUAGAGUGUUCAAAGCAGGCAUAUGCUCGAAUACAUUAGCAUGGAAUAAUAGAAUAGGACGUGUGGUUCUAUUUUGUUGGUUUCUAGGACCGCCGUAAUGAUUAAUAGGGACAGUCGGGGGCGUCAGUAUUCAAUUGUCAGAGGUGAAAUUCUUGGAUUUAUUGAAGACUAACUACUGCGAAAGCAUUCGUCAAGGAUGUUUUCAUUAAUCAGGAACGAAAGUUAGGGGAUCGAAAACGAUCAGAUACCGUUGUAGUCUUAACCAUAAACUAUGCCGACUAGGGAUCGGGCGGUGUUAUUUUUUGACCCGCUCGGCACCUUACAC
rnacentral:rRNA from 1 species